rnacentral:rRNA from 1 species
GUGCCAGCAGCCGCGGUAAUACGGAGGGUGCAAGCGUUAUCCGGAUUCACUGGGUUUAAAGGGUGCGUAGGAGGGCAGGUAAGUCAGUGGUGAAAUCUCCAAGCUUAACUUGGAAACUGCCGUUGAUACUAUCUGUCUUGAAUAUUGUGGAGGUGAGCGGAAUAUGUCAUGUAGCGGUGAAAUGCUUAGAUAUGACAUAGAACACCAAUUGCGAAGGCAGCUCGCUACUCAAUUAUUGACUCUGAGGCACGAAAGCGUGGGGAUCAAACAGGAUUAGAUACCCCCGUAGUCC